rnacentral:tRNA from 1 species
GGAGCCUCUCCCGGAGCUGGUGCCCGGCGCGGUCUUCAAAACCGUUUGCGAGGCCGCGGACGCGGUCUUGGGCGGGUUCGAUUCCCGUGGGGCUCCGCCA